UACGUAGGGUGCGAGCGUUGUCCGGAAUUAUUGGGCGUAAAGAGCGCGCAGGCGGUCAGAUAAGUCGAAUGUGAAAGCCCCCGGCUCAACUGGGGAGGGUCAUUCGAUACUGUUCGACUCGAAGGCAGGAGAGGGAAGUGGAAUUCCCGGUGUAGUGGUGAAAUGCGUAGAUAUCGGGAGGAACACCAGUGGCGAAGGCGACUUCCUGGCCUGUUCUUGACGCUGAGGCGCGAAAGCGUGGGGAGCGAACAGG
rnacentral:rRNA from 1 species